AGAGUUUGAUCCUGGCUCAGGAUGAACGCUGGCGGCGUGCCUUAAGCAUGCAAGUCGAACGAUCUGUAGCAAUACAGGUAGUGGCGGACGGUCGAGUAACGCGUGGGGAUCUACCUUGAAGUUGGACAUAGCCUUCCGAAAGGAGGGGUAAUUUCCAAUGUGAAUGCAAAUUCAAAGCCGCAAGGCGCUUUAAGAUGAACCCGCGUCCUAUCAGCUAGUUGGUGAGGUAAAGGCUCACCAAGGCAUCGACGGGUAGCUGGUCUGAGAGGAUGAUCAGCCGGAAUAGCACUGAGACACGGGCUAUACAUCUACGGAUGGCAGCAACUGGGAAUCUUGCGCAAUGGACGAAAGUCUGACGCAGCGACGCCGCGUGUGGGAAGAAGGCCUUCGGGUCGUAAACCACUGUGGAAAGGGAAUAAAAAAAUGAAGGUACCUUUCUAGAAAGCACCUGCUAACUACGUGCCAGAAGCCUCGGUAAUACGUAGGGUGCAAGCGUUAUCCGGAUUUAUUGGGCGUAAAGUGUUGCGUAGGCUGAUUUGCGCAUUUUGUUUAAAAGACUAAGGCUUAACCUUAGUUUUGGGCAAAAUAUGGCAAAUCUUGAUGGUUUAAGAGGGUACUGGAACUUAACAAGUAGCAGUGAAAUGCGUUGAUAUGUUAAGGAACACCAAAGGCGUAGGCAGGUACCUGGGAAACUCAUGACGCUGAGGCACGACAGCUAGGGGAGCGAAGCAGAUUAGAGACCUGCGUAGUCCUAGCCGUAAACGAUCCUUGCUAGAUGGGAGAAUUAUUUUUCCU
rnacentral:rRNA from 1 species